AAACGCUUGAAGUCAGUCGCGUCUGCCAGGGAUCAACCUUACUUUUGUGAGGCGUACUUCCUGGUUGAUGGGUCAGCAUCAGUUUUGGUCGCUGGAUAAAGGUCAGAGAAAUGUGGCACCUUCGGGUGUGUUAUAGUCUUUGAUCAGAUACAGUGGCUGGGACUGAGGAACUCAGCGCCGCAAGGCUGUCUUAGGAUGCUGGCAAAAUGGCUUUAAUCGA
rnacentral:rRNA from 1 species